rnacentral:lncRNA from 1 species
UUACACCGAAGAUGAUACAGUUUCUUCUUCAAAUAAAAUAUUUUCAUAAAAUUCUCUAACUAACUUCAUAAACAUUGGGGCUUCAGCUGUGCAGAUGAAUUCUCAUCCCAUACCUCUAAUUAAGUUUGCAAUCUCGAAUCCCUCUGAGUCUAAAAAUUUUAUAUCAACAAUACGGUCUGAAAGAAUAUUUUUGUCACUUACUGGAGUUCUUAGAGGAGGUGAUGAAACUGGUGCUUCGCUUGCUCCUCUUCUCCUGCUUUCUUCAUUUUUGGUUGCUCUUUGGCAUUGGGGAAGACGUAUCUUCGGAGCCAUCAGGUUGAAAGUUGGCCGAGAAGGAGAUGGAAAGGAGGUUUUUGGUUUGAGAAAGAGAUGGAAAGGAGGUUUUUGGUUUGAGAUUUAAGAGAUGUGAGUGGAGAUGGUAUGAUGGUUGUGGAGACGGAGAGCUAGGAAUUUUGAAGGAAAGAAUAGAAAGUCGAUAUUUCGAACUAGUUCGAUGACUUGGGUCAGAUCCAAUGAAUAUAAAAGCAAUGGACGGAAGGCACCUAAAAUCGGAUCCAAGGUAGUGGAUGUAGGCGCCUACAUCUGGGACAUCCCGGAUGUAGGCAUCUAC